rnacentral:tRNA from 1 species
GCUAUGGCUCAAUGGAAGAGCCUCUGAUUUGGGUACAAAAUGUCCCAGGUCCAAUCCCUGGCAUCUAUA